rnacentral:rRNA from 1 species
AUCGAACGCUGGCGGCAGGCCUAACACAUGCAAGUCGAGCGAGCGGCGGACGGGUGAGUAAUGUCAGGGAAACUGCCUGACGGAGGGGGAUAACUACUGGAAACGGUAGCUAAUACCGCAUACCAUCAGAUGUGCCAAGAUGGGAUUAGCUAGUAGGUGGGGGAACGGCCCACUUAGGCGACGAACCCUAGCUGGUCUGAGAGGAUGAACAGCCACACCGAAACUGAGACACGGUACAGACGCCUACGGGAGGCAGCAGUGGGGAAUAUUGCACAAUGGGAGCAAGCCUGAUGCAGCCAUGCCGCGUGUGUGAAGAAGGCCUUCGGGUUGUAAAGCACUUUCAGCGGGGAGGCGUUACCCGCAGAAGAAGCACCGGCUAACUCCGUGCCAGCAGCCGCGGUAAUAC